rnacentral:rRNA from 1 species
GAUGAACGCUGGCGGCGUGCCUAAUACAUGCAAGUCGAGCGAACAGACGAGGAGCUUGCUCCUCUGACGUUAGCGGCGGACGGGUGAGUAACACGUGGAUAACCUACCUAUAAGACUGGGAUAACUUCGGGAAACCGGAGCUAAUACCGGAUAAUAUAUUGAACCGCAUGGUUCAAUAGUGAAAGACGGUUUUGCUGUCACUUAUAGAUGGAUCCGCGCCGCAUUAGCUAGUUGGUAAGGUAACGGCUUACCAAGGGAACGAUGCGUAUCCGACCUGAGAGGGUGAUCGGCCACACUGGAACUGAGACACGGUCCAGACUCCUACGGGAGGCAGCAGUAGGGAAUCUUCCGCAAUGGGCGAAAGCUUGACGGAGCAACGCCGCGUGAGUGAUGAAGGUCUUCGGAUCGUAAAACUCUGUUAUUAGGGAAGAACAAAUGUGUAAGUAACUAUGCACGUCUUGACGGUACCUAAUCAGAAAGCCACGGCUAACUACGUG